CCUACGGGAGGCAGCAGUGGGGGAUAUUGCACAAUGGGGGGAACCCUGAUGCAGCGACGCCGCGUGGGUGAAGAAGCGCCUCGGCGCGUAAAGCCCUGUCAGCAGGGAAGAAAAUGACGGUACCUGAAGAAGAAGCCCCGGCUAACUACGUGCCAGAAGCCGCGGGAAUACGUAGGGGGCAAGCGUUGUCCGGAUUUACUGGGUGUAAAGGGGGCGCAGACGGCGCUGCAAGCCACGAGUUAAAGCCCCGGGCCCAACCCCGUGGCGGCGUUUGGAACUGCGUGGCUGGAGUGCAGGAGGGGCAGGUGGAAUUCCUGGUGUAGCGGUGAAAUGCGUAGAUAUCAGGAGGAACACCAGUGGCGAAGGCGACCUGCUGGACUGCAACUGACGUUGAGGCCCGAAAGCGUGGGUAGCAAACAGGAUUAGAUACCCUUGUAGUC
rnacentral:rRNA from 1 species